GAGGUCUAGAAUCAGAAUUAUAGGCUAGGGGCUCAUAGAGUUCUUCGUACGCCUUUCCCGGGGUUGGGUGUGGGAUAGUAGGGUUACCCAUAGGUGAUUAGUGUUUUAGCUUAUGUCCCCAGAGGGUUGUUAGUAUGGUAGUUAAUGGAUGUGGAAAGUGAUCGUAGCUUAAUUGUCAGCUACUGACAGGUACUGUGAAUGUCACUGACUGCUUUUGUUAUCAAUCAAAUGCAUUACUCUUCUUGUUUGGACCCAAUUAACCCCUUUGUCAUUUUCUUUAUUAACAUAACCUUAAACUAAAUUGUUAGCUCAUAUAAUAAAACCAUCACAAAAUCGUAAUGAA
rnacentral:lncRNA from 1 species